UGGCUCAGUGGUAGAGCGCUUGCCUUGAAUGCAUGAGGCCCUGGGUUCGAUUCCUCAG
rfam:Dipodomys ordii contig_31479, whole genome shotgun sequence.